CAAUAUAAGAAAAAACAAACCAAGUUAAAAAGCAGAAUAAGCAAAAUGCAUUGUUACCAUCAUUCCAGAGGUAUGUGAUGCUAUAUGGAAAACUUUAAAAGAUAUUCAUAUGCCAGUUCCAACUAGAGAACAUUGGGAGAAGAUUGCACAAAAAUAUUUUGACCUGGCUCAUUAGAUGGUAAGCACUUUAUAUCAAAAGUUAGAAAAACCAAUAUCAAACACCUUAAAAAACUAUGAAACCUUAUCCUAUGAAAAAUACCAGUCCAGAAGCAAAACAUUA